CCAAACCCAUGUGAACUUACCUGUCGUUGCUUCGGCGGACCGCCCCGGGUGCCCAACGGCCCCGGAUCCACGGCGCCCGCCGGGGGCUCGAAACACUCUUGUUUUCUUCUACGCAGAUUUCUGAGUGGCAUUUAUUACAAAUAAAUCAAAACUUUCAACAACGGAUCUCUUGGUUCUGGCAUCGAUGAAGAACGCAGCGAAAUGCGAUAAGUAGUGUGAAUUGCAGAAUUCAGUGAAUCAUCGAAUCUUUGAACGCACAUUGCGCCCGCCAGCAUUCUGGCGGGCAUGCCUGUUCGAGCGUCAUUUCAACCCUCAAGCCCUAGCGGUUUGGUGUUGGCGGCCGGGUGGCCCUCGCGCUACCCGCCGCCGAAAUGCAGGGGCGGUCGCCUCGCGGUAACCUUUACGCAGUAGUAACAUCUCGUAACUGGGACGCGGAGCGGCCACGCCUAACCCCCAAUUCUUUCUAGAGUUGACCUCGGAUCAGGUAGGGAUACCCGCUGAACUUAAGCAUAUCAAUAAGCGGAGGAA
rnacentral:rRNA from 1 species